UAAGUAAUCGGUGGUUGGCG
rnacentral:miRNA from 1 species